CCUACGGGAGGCAGCAGUGGGGAAUAUUGCACAAUGGGGGAAACCCUGAUGCAGCGACGCCGCGUGAGUGAAGAAGUAUUUCGGUACGUAAAGCUCUAUCAGCAGGGAAGAAAAACCGGCCUUAGGGCCGCCAGACGGUACCUGACUAAGAAGCACCGGCUAACUACGUGCCAGCAGCCGCGGUAAUACGGAGGGGGCAAGCGUUAUCCGGAUUUACUGGGUGUAAAGGGAGCGUAGACGGCAGCGCAAGUCUGGAGUGAAAUGCCGGGGCCCAACCCCGGAACUGCUUUGGAAACUGUGCAGCUGGAGUGCAGGUGAGGUAAGCGGAAUGCCUAGUGUAGCGGUGAAAUGCGUAGAUAUUAGGAGGAACACCAGUUGCGAAGGCGGCUUACUGGACUGUAACUGACGUUGAGGCUCGAAAGCGUGGGGAGCAAACAGGAUUAGAUACCCUGGUAGUC
rnacentral:rRNA from 1 species